rnacentral:rRNA from 1 species
GAUGAACGCUAGCGGCAGGCCUAAUACAUGCAAGUCGAACGGGAUUAAGGAGCUUGCUUCUUAUGAGAGUGGCGCACGGGUGCGUAACACGUAUGCAACCUACCUUCAACUGGGGGAUAGCCUUCAGAAAGGGAGAUUAAUACAGCAUAACAUAAUUGAGUGGCAUCACUUGAUUAUCAAACGUCAGGGUUGAAGAUGGGCAUGCGUCCGAUUAGUUAGUUGGUGAGGUAAAUGCUCACCAAGGCUACGAUCGGUAGGGGAUCUGAGAGGAUGGCCCCCCACACUGGUACUGAGACACGGACCAGACUCCUACGGGAGGCAGCAGUAAGGAAUAUUGGUCAAUGGACGGAAGUCUGAACCAGCCAUGCCGCGUGCAGGAAGACGGUCCUCUGGAUUGUAAACUGCUUUUGUUAGGGAAGAAACUUCCGUACGUGUACGGGACUGACGGUACCUAAAGAAUAAGGAUCGGCUAACUCCGUGCCAGCAGCCGCAGUAACAC